AGUGAACGCUGGCGGUAGGCCUAACACAUGCAAGUCGAACGGCAGCACAGUAAGAGCUUGCUCUUACGGGUGGCGAGUGGCGGACGGGUGAGGAAUACAUCGGAAUCUACUUUUUCGUGGGGGAUAACGUAGGGAAACUUACGCUAAUACCGCAUACGACCUACGGGUGAAAGCAGGGGAUCUUCGGACCUUGCGCGAUUGAAUGAGCCGAUGUCGGAUAAGCUAGUUGGCGGGGUAAAGGCCCACCAAGGCGACGAUCCGUAGCUGGUCUGAGAGGAUGAUCAGCCACACUGGAACUGAGACACGGUCCAGACUCCUACGGGAGGCAGCAGUGGGGAAUAUUGGACAAUGGGCGCAAGCCUGAUCCAGCCAUACCGCGUGGGUGAAGAAGGCCUUCGGGUUGUAAAGCCCUUUUGUUGGGAAAGAAAAGCAGCAGGUUAAUACCCCGCUGUUCUGACGGUACCCAAAGAAUAAGCACCGGCUAACUUCGUG
rnacentral:rRNA from 1 species